UAAUACAGAGGGUGCGAGCGUUGUUCGGAAUUACUGGGCGUAAAGCGCGCGCAGGCGGCCCGUUAAGUCUGACGGUGAAAUGCCGGGGCUCAACCCCGAGCGUGCCGGAGAUACUGGCGGGCUGGAGAGACGUAGAGGCAAGCGGAAUUCCGGGUGUAGCGGUGGAAUGCGUAGAGAUCCGGAAGAACACCGGAGGCGAAGGCGGCUUGCUGGGCGUUGUCUGACGCUGAGGCGCGAAAGCGUGGGGAGCGAACAGGAUUAGAUACCCUGGUAGUCCACGCCGUAAACGAUGGGCACUAGGCGCGGGGUGGAUCGACCCAUUCCGUGCCGCAGCUAACGCGAUAAGUGCCCCGCCUGGGGAGUACGGCCGCAAGGCUG
rnacentral:rRNA from 1 species